CAAAGUAUGUUGAGAAAACAGAGUCAUUUUCAGUCUUCCAUCUAGGACGAUGGUUCUCAACCUUUUUACUCAAAGGGUGUCCAUAUAAGAUAUGCAACUCCAGCUCUGUGGUCAGUGCUUGUCGGUCUCCCUUUCACAUUCUUGGCUGGCUAAAGGGCAGAAUCUGACAGAAAGAGUAAUGAUGCAGCCUAGUGUUAAUUAGGACCUUUCCUGCUGUCGCUCCCCAGAAGCGCUUCUCUCUGCUGGGCUACGGUGGUGUUUCUUCAGCCUAUUAAAGCUCCAGACGCUGGGCGUGAAGUUCAGCUCUGUGGCUUUCUUCUUUGAAUCCGCACAAUAGGGGAAUGGUUUGAUGAGUCUUUCAAUAUUAAGAAAUAAGGCCUCUGAAUCCUAUAAAAGAAUCUUCUGGAAAUUUAAGUCAAAAUUUGACACUAAUACUGCCGUGGUUUGUAAUUACAUGGUCUGUUUGUGUCAUAGUGCAUUUGAUUUGUAGUCCUCUGAAGGUAUUAAUAUUACAAAUACUUUUGUGAAUCUGAAGCAACAGUUGUCAGGUAAUUUUCCACACAUGUUAAAUGCAUGAGCACACACACACACAUGUACAACACAUAAACACUAUUUCCUUAUACACUGAAAAGUGAUUAUAAAGUGAUUUUCUCACUCCCACACAGACACUGUGGCCCCACCACAGUGUGUAAAGCAGAGGUCAUGAUGGCGUCACUGUGGGAUCAGACUCAACGGGAGAGGAUGAUACCCUCAAUAAACCCGUCCAGCUGAAAGCUGUAAAAGUCCCAGGAAUGCUACAGCAGCGUGGUGCGAGAACCAUCAGAGACGGAGAAAACCCUUUACGGGAGAAGCGCGACUCCAGAGCAGGAGCUCCGGGAGAUCCGGGAACGUGCUAUCCACAGAGCCCGGCAGCGGAUACAGGCCCUGGGCUGUGAAACCCAAUCAGGCCAUCCUGGACACAUGUGAUGGGUUGAAGUAGACAGGGUCACUGUUCCAUUACAAAAUAUGCACAUCUGUGAGAGUCGUCCAGUGAUGCAUCUAUUUGAUCAUCUGAAAUCGUUUGACAUAAAAGACACAACCUCAUAAUCUUGGGAGUUUAUUGUUUGAUUAGCAUAGCAUGUGGUGUAAAAGCAGCGUAGCAUGUAGUCUCAUUGUUUAAUCUCUAAUGACACACACCUGAGGCACGAGCAGGAUAAAUUUAUGGAAUUUCUUUCUGUUUGAUGUCUUCAUCCAGUAACUUUUACAAUAACUUACCUACAAUCCAACUGACCCUUCACUGGGAGUUUGAUUGAUGGGGGAUCUGACCAAUCAUUAUGCCUAAUCUGCCAUAUCUGUCCAACAAACAAACCAGACAGGAGGUCAGAUUAACGACAGUGGAUUUAAACCUG